AUUGAACGCUGGCGGCAGGCCUAACACAUGCAAGUCGCGCGAGCGGCGGACGGGUGAGUAAUGUAUGGGGACUGCCCGAUAGAGGGGGAUAACUACUGGAAACGGUAGCUAAUACCGCAUACUAUCGGAUAACCCAUAUGGGAGUAGCUAGUAGGUGAGGUAAUGGCUCACCUAGGCGACGAUCCCUAGCUGGUCUGAGAGGAUGAUCAGGCACACUGGGACUGAGACACGGCCCAGACUCCUAUGGAGGCAGCAGUGGUGAAUAUUGCACAAUGUGCGCAAGCCUGAUGCAUCCAUGCCGCGUUUAGGAAGAAGGCCCUAGUGUUGUAAAGUACUUUCAGUCGUGAGGCGUUACCGACAGAAGAAGCACCGUCUAACUCCGUGCCAGCAGCCGCGUUAAUAC
rnacentral:rRNA from 1 species